rnacentral:rRNA from 1 species
UACAGAGGUGGCAAGCGUUGUUCGGAAUUACUGGGCGUAAAGGGCGCGUAGGCGGAUUGCUAAGUCAGGGGUGAAAUCCUGGAGCUCAACUCCAGAACUGCCUUUGAUACUGGCGACCUUGAGUCCGGGAGAGGUGAGUGGAACUGCGAGUGUAGAGGUGAAAUUCGUAGAUAUUCGCAAGAACACCAGUGGCGAAGGCGGCUCACUGGCCCGGUACUGACGCUGAGGUGCGAAAGCGUGGGGAGCAAACAGG